UUCUACGGGGGGCAGCAGUGGGGAAUAUUGCACAAUGGGCGAAAGCUGAUGCAGCGACGCCGCGUGAGGGAUGACGGCCUUCGGGUUGUAAACCUCUUUCAGCAGGGAAGAAGCGAAAGUGACGGUACCUGCAGAAGAAGCACCGGCUAACUACGUGCCAGCAGCCGCGGUAAU
rnacentral:rRNA from 1 species